AAAACACGCGGCUUCUAACCAAGAACAUCGCCGAGAACGGCCACACAAACGCACAUUCUAGUAAAAUUACCAAGAAAGCACACGCAGCUGCUAACCAAGAACAUCGCCAACAACGGCCACACAAAUGCACAUUCUAGUAAAAUUAACAAGAAAACACAAGCGGCUUUUCACCAAACGGCCACACGAACGCACAUUCUAGUAAAAUUACUGAGAAAACACACGUGACUUCUAACUGAGAACAUCGCCAAGAACAGCCACACAAACGCACCUUCUAGUAGAAUUACCGAGAAAACACACGCAGCUUCUAACCCAGAACAUCACCGAGAACGGCCACAUGAAUGUACGUUCUAGUAGAAUUACCGAGAAAACACACAUGGCUUCUAACCGAGAACAUCGCCAAGAAUGGCCACACGAACGUACAUUCUAAUAAAAUGACUGAAAAAACACACGUGACUUCUAAGGGGAAAAGAUGUUAUCAUUUUCACAUUUUCACAGAGGAAAAAGACGUGACCCAAGGCUUUAACACCCAGAAAAACUACCUUUCAAAUUCAAAGGACAAAAACUCUCGUGGAUAAGUCUGACCUCAGGGGCUAAUGAGGAAUUCAGUAGAGUGCACUUCAGACACCACAAGGACCAGUCAGUAAAACUAAGACUUGAAGACUGAAAGAAAGUAUGGUUAGGGCAGGACACAGAAAUAGCCAUCUUGCCAACCUGGCAAGGGAAGCAUGAAAACGGCCGUAUCCUUAUUCCUGUCUCUCCUGGAACCUGGUUGAGUUACUGAAAGCAGAUGUCAGCAUCAUCAAGCGCCCGUGGGCAGAGCUGACCAGGGGCUCUGGCCUUCAAAGGCUGCUCUGCCAAAGGCAUCAUCUGCAGAGGGGUCAUGACAGAGCUGGGGCUCAGAGCACUCAGGGUUCCAACCCAUCUCUUCCACCUACCAGCAAAGUAAGUGUCCUCAAGCCGUAACAACCUCUCAGCCUCAGUUUCCUCAUCCAUAUAUAAAGGUAACCCCUACCCUCUGUACUGAGAAUGCGGGACGUGCAUGGCAAAGGCUCAGAAUUAUUUUAAAUUGAAGUUCUCAUUCAUACCCUUCCCUCUCACAAAUGCAAUAAACUUAUGAAAAAUAAUAACAGUG